AGACAAUCUAGACAAUAUGUACACUUUACAUUCAUUACAUAGACAACAUAUAGUUGAAUAACAGUAUACAAGAAACAGUCAAAGCAAUGAAAACUUAUCUUUGAAAACCCAUGAAAAUGAGGUCAAGGUCAGAUGAUACUUGGCAGACCUAUUGCUUAGAGUAUCUUAGAAAUGGAGCAUAUUACUGACUCUUACAAAGACCUAUGAAUUAUGCUUUCCAAACCCGUGAAACGGAC
rnacentral:lncRNA from 1 species